UACGUAGGGGGCAAGCGUUGUCCGGAAUCAUUGGGCGUAAAGCGCGUGUAGGCGGCCAGAAAAGUCCGCUGUGAAAACUCGAGGCUCAACUUCGAGCUGUCGGUGGAAACUUUCUGGCUAGAGUCCGGAAGAGGAGAAUGGAAUUCCUGGUGUAGCGGUGAAAUGCGCAGAUAUCAGGAAGAACACCCGUGGCGAAGGCGGUUCUCUGGGAAUAUCCUGACGCUGAGGAGCGAAAGUGUGGGGAGCGAACAGG
rnacentral:rRNA from 1 species